UAUUUCUUUUGUUAGCAGAAUACAAAGAAGAAAAACUUAAAAAACAUGAAGAUUUAGCCUUCCCUUGGGACAUACAGAUCAUCCAUUUUGUAGUAUUUUUAAAUCACUCUCUUUAGAUGAAAGAAAAGUUGUUGCCAAAGGUCUCCUUAUGAUCAGAGGGACAAAAAUGAUGUUCCAGGCUUCAUGUUUUCUUCUUGAAGGUGGGAAGAAGAGAACAAUCAACAAACAAAGGACCAUGAACAAACUGGAAGAGGAGGCUGAGAGAGGAUAUCAUCAAGAAACAGAAAUAUUUCAUCCUGUGUAAAGAAGAAGCAAACACCAUUUUGAGCUCAAUCUCAAGCCAGAAGCUAUGACAGUCAAUCAGAGGGUUCUCGCCCUGUGAAGGCUCAUUAAUCAGUUCCUGUGUGAACCACCCUGGAGCCAAAGAACACGUUUCUCAUCCAAGA